CUUGGUCAUUUAGAGGAAGUAAAAGUCGUAACAAGGUUUCCGUAGGUAUGUAGUAUCAACCAUACCCUCCCCAAAUCUUCAGCGACAAAUGCUAACAAUGCUUUUAGGUGAACCUGCGGAAGGAUCAUUACCGAGUUAGGGUCAUCUGGCCCGAUCUCCAACCCAGUGUCUAUCUUACUGUGUUGCUUUGGCGGACCCGCCCUUAACUGGGCCGCCGGGGACCUUGUCUCUGGCCCGUGUCUGUCAGUAGCCCUCACCAAAAUCUUUUAAAUAUGUCGUGCUGAAUACAAAAUAAUAAUUAAAACUUUCAACAACGGAUCUCUUGGUUCUGGCAUCGAUGAAGAACGCAGCGAAAUGCGAUAAGUAAUGCGAAUUGCAGAAUAGUGAGUCAUCGAAUCUUUGAACGCAUAUUGCGCCCUUUGGUAUUCCGAAGGGCAUGCCUGUUCGAGCGUCAUUAUCCUCCCUCAAGCUUAGCUUGUCAUUGGGCCUCUAUCGGUGAAAGAUAGGCCUCAAAGGUAAUGACGGCGUCGGUCGACCCCAGAUACACGAAGCUCUAACCAGCAGGUAUCUUGACGGUUGGCGGGCCCGGUCUAUAACCAUUUAUAACCAGGUUGACCUCGGAUCAGGUAGGAAUACCCGCUGAACUUAAGCAUAUCAAUAAGCGGAGGA
rnacentral:rRNA from 1 species